UUCUUCUUCUUCUUCUGUUUCUUUCUCUUCCUCUUCUUCUGUUUCUUCUUCCUCUUCCUCUUCUGUUUCUUCUUCUUCCUCUUUUUCUUUCUCUUUCUCCUUUUCUUUCACUUUCUCGGCUAGAGGGAUAGCAACCUUACUGGUUUCUCCAGCCUCAGUGGUUGAAAUACCCAAAUGGACUUUGAUUUUAAACAACUCUUCAACAAUCUUGUACAUCAACAUCAAAGAUCCAUCAAC
rnacentral:misc_RNA from 1 species